rnacentral:lncRNA from 1 species
AUGGCCACAAGCUAUGGUUUCAUGUCCUGGCUGAGCCACGAAAUUCGGACAUUGCAAGGACCCACUGCAAAAUGUGUUGCAUUAUUGACUGAGAUACUGAGCAUUUUAGGUGCAAACUUGCCAGUACGGUAUUCAGGAGCUGUUCUCAACCUCUUCUUAUUUUUGGCUGAGUUUGUCACCUCUCUGAACAGUCAUUAUCUAUCCAUGUUCAUCUCGUCUCUCCGAUUUAUCAGCCGGAAAGCAAGGAUGUCGAUCAAGUCAAAACUCUAUCCACCUUACUCACAAAUAUCGCCACGAAAAUCUCACGCAGUACCCACCAAACAUGCCAGUAUUUCCUCAAGUACGGCACCAAAUAUUCCCCUAGUAUAAGCGUAGAAGAUUCAGAGAGCGUUGACCAAAAUUUAAUGGCUCUGUUUGUUGAUUAUUUGUAAGAGAUCUCUGCCUCUUAUUUAUCACUUGAAUUAGUACAUAACGACGGUGAAACUACCAAACCACGUAUCUCGUUUGGUGUGUUUAAAAAUCUACGCUCGCAUUUUAGUUUUUUGAAGUAGACCAAAUCAAUAUCAUUCCUUGAAAUUUUCACAGAAUUUCCUCCCCACGAAGAGGAAAAAUCACAGAAAUUUUCAAGACUGGACGUUGAGUAGUUUUUCAUUUAAAAAAUAAAGUAUGACAGGAAGUCUGCAACGUCGCAAACCGAGAUACGUGGUUUGGUAGUUUCACCGUCGAUAAGCUCUGAUAGAUAACAAGCAGAACUUACAAUUCAGCAAGAUCACUACUGUGAUAAAAAUGCGUUUAAUUUCAGUUUGAUCCCACUUACAUGUGACCUGUUACAUUUUGGCAAGAUAACGAAUGAACGAUUCAUGUUUAAUUUCUGUUUCCAUAACUUUUUGACUCAAUCUGUCUUUUGAGACUGUAAGUUAAAUAGGCUGAUUAACUUGGAAUCAGCCCAGAACUAGCAUAGCACCAGAUGAGUUGGUUGUUGUUUACCUCUAGCUGUCACACGCUGUAGACAUUUAGCAAUAUUCUGUCAGAAGAAGAUAUUAGUUUUCAUUAUCGCGCACAUCGGCAGGACUGCGUCACACUGCAUUUAGUCAAUUGUUGGUUGCCAUUUAACGGCAGCCUUUGACCUUUCCAUAUACAAACAAGCUGAGAGAGAGGAAAAGAAUCAUUGAUUUAGAUAAAAAUUGUCACUUCGACUAGAUUUGUUCCAUUAAUUGUACAUUGCUUUGUUUCUCCUGUCUUGCCAUGUGCCUAAGUGCCUUACAGGCGCAGCAAUUAGACUAUAGAUUUCGAUUAGCUCCUUUUCCUGCAACCCUGCGUCUCAGGUGAAUUUUCCAGAAAACCUUUUGUAAGUACGAUAAUCCUCACAGUGUAUGCAACAAACACUCAAACCUCUGUAAACACUGUCCCUACACUAAGCCCUGCCAAUCAUGAAUAUAAAAAAUGAUUGUAUACCAUUUUUCUGCAGGUGCGCUUAAGGGAGGGUUGUAACAAAAUUUAUUUGUCAUAGUGAUUCAGACAAGUCUAAUUCAGGAAGUAAGAUGCAGAAAAGUAUCGUAUUUAUGAUAAUUACUAAUUGAGAACCCUGUACAUUGUGUAAUUAAUUUCAUUAAUUGGUCAACUUUCAAAAUACUGCACCAAGCUAACUUGCAAAAAGUCAGCUCGGACUUUUUUGUAAGUUUGGUUCUAAGUCUGUGUUUGGAUCUUAAAAUAAAUUCUUAGUAAAUAAGUUUUAAGGCAGCAUCUGUGAUCAAUAUUUAAUUUAAGCACAACUGUAAUUUAAUCACGCAAAAUUGUAAAUAAAAAUUAAGUUGUAAGAUUUAAUUCAUGAAACAUUAAAUUUAAAAAUUGUCAUCAGUGAUUUUAUCAUCAUUACUAUUUUUAUCCUCAGGUUAGAGUUUAUAAAAUAAUUCAUUCUCAAAAAAAAGAAGAAGAAAUCAGCCAACACCCAAACAAACAUCAUACUCGAACGCCAACUUUCAGAGGCAUUAGAGUGAGACACCUCUAGUAGUAAGUAAGAGAUAAAAUGAGAUGGAAAAAAGAGAAACUGUAAAGGACCCUUAGUCUGAAGCCUUACAUGUCGAGUGAGCUGAUGAAAUUUAUAGACAAAGCGGUAGACAAAGAAGACGUGGGGAGUAUGGAGUGAUCCUAUUGGUUGAAACGGGUGGUCUUUAUAGACCAAGUAGAUAAAUGAUGGACUAACUUUAGGGUCUCUGGUUGCCGUUAGUUAGUCUACUGCCUACCUCCUAUGUCCAUUACAAUCACCCACUUCCACCAAAAGGAUACCUCCAUAUCCCUUUUGUAUUCUUUGUCUAUCAAUUUCAACAAUUAGCCCACAGUUUGUAUCGAAUUUGAACCUGAAAAACAUGAAAUUAGAAGAGGUAGUCCGUAAAAUUCUUAAAAUUCGUCAACUUAUUUUUGGUAAAUGACCGAUUUUUAAAAAAUAACUAUCAUUAUUGUCUAACGAGAGAUCCAGUAUUAAGAAUAUAUUCUUUGUAGAACCUCAGUCUCUACGGAGCUGUAAUUUUUUCCUCAGUUUGAACAUUCAAUCUGAUUUAAUAACAGUCAAAUCCGACUUUUUUACGCGCGAAAAUCGGUCGGUGCGCGUUGAGCGGAAACUUCAAUGGAUCAUAACUCCGGAACCGUUUGGUUCCCCAGCUCAUUGGACCACUCGUUGGAUGCAGAAAAAGACGAGCAAUUUAAAAAACUGGUUUUGGUUCAAAUAAAAAAUUGAGAUCUUUGUAAAUUCUCUGUUUAAAAGAAAUUUUCUAGACCUAAAAACUGGAAAAAAGCACAUAUGUUGACUUAAAAAUGUGAUAUCGGAAUUUCGACCUUUAGAAUCUUACAGUAUGCAAUUUUAGACGAUUUUUCGUCCAAACCGGACCUAAAUAUCUUUUUUCGUUCGAGAGAUAUCGAGGUUCACAGGUUUUGACUUCCAACCCCCCCCCCCCCCCUAGCUCCCCCCAAAAUUUUUGAGGAGGAGUGCUCCUUCCCUUUUUACCAGAAUUGUAAAACUUAGGUAUAUUAACAUAAAUAUAUACCUAACUAUACUUUUUCCUUCAUUCAUGUGAUUCCUGCAAAUCCUCACAUUCUUAGUGUUUUCAUUACUGAAGAUUCGAAGAAUUCAAAAUAUUUAAAAAAAGUCAAUAAUAUUGAUUACAGGAAAAUUGGAAGAAUGCUCUUUUAUCGUUACAAUGAAUUCAGUGUUUAUAGUUGAGGAAAUUAGCUCAAAAUUACACCAUACAUAGUAUGGAUUUUC